GGAAUCUUGGACAAUGGGGGCAACCCUGAUCCAGCGACGCCGCGUGGGUGAUGAAGGCCUUCGGGUUGUAAAGCCCUUUUGCCGGGGACGAUGAUGACGGUACCCGGCGAAUAAGCACCGGCUAACUCCGUGCCAGCAGCCGCGGUAAUACGGCGGGGGCUAGCGUUGUCCGGAAUUACUGGGCGUAAAGGGCGCGUAGGCGGCUUCUUGCGUCGGAUGUGAAAGCCCGGGGCUCAACCUCGGAACGGCAUUCGAUACGGGGGAGCUGGAGACCGGGAGAGGAGAGUGGAAUAGCCAGUGUAGAGGUGAAAUUCGUAGAUAUUGGCUGGAACACCGGUGGCGAAAGCGGCUCUCUGGCCCGGUUCUGACGCUGAGGCGCGAAAGCGUGGGGAGCAAACAGG
rnacentral:rRNA from 1 species